AAAGAGGGAAGAGCGCCAUUAACUCCUUCCAACCACAUCUUCCCAACAUUGAAAGAGAUCUCCUCCUGCCUUCAAGUCGUCCAGAAUUUCAAGAGGAGACCCGAAGUUCAAGAAGCCCUUUCUCUUCUCUAACUUAAACGCGUUUGAGGGCUCUUAACUUUGCUUUUAUUAAUAUUGCUGUAUAUUUGCUUUUGAGAAGCUCUGUUUUUCUGUUUGUCCUCAUUAUUAGCAUAUUGUCUUAGCUUGGUUCAAUCGGGGGAUUGAAUCAAGGGUGUAGAGGUUGGUUGGUGAGCC
rnacentral:lncRNA from 1 species